rnacentral:tRNA from 1 species
GGACAAGUGUCUGAGCGGUCUAAAGUAUCAGUCUUGAAAACUGACGUAUGUUAAAUACCGGAGGUUCGAAUCCUUCCUUGUCCG